rnacentral:antisense_RNA from 1 species
GUCUUCUCCACCAUGUCCAUGAUACAGUUCAAGCGAGGGCAGCCUUCAGCGCCUCGGAGGGACCAGGACGCACCAGACGCUCCCCCAGCCCACUCGGCCAGAGCCCUGGACAGGAUGGGUGCCCGACCAGCCCACCACCCAUGAGGGUAAGGGGGUUCCAGGACUGAAGCCGCACAGGCCACUCCCACAGGUCACCAGAAACUAAGACGUGAGUGACGCCCGGCAGUGGCCGACUCUUUCGUGGUAGCUGCGCCCAUGACUUCUGGAGACAUCAGAGGCUUCCAGGCCCGUUUUCUGCAUUCAGCCACGGCCCACGCUUCCGGGUCUGGGGUCUCCCUCUU